rnacentral:tRNA from 1 species
GCCCUAGCGGCACAACAGUUAAGCAUUCGGCUGAUAGCUGAAAGAUUGGUGGUUCGAACCCACCCAGUGGCU